CACUAUGAGUGUGGACCAGUACAGUUAGGCCCUACAUUUUUUAUUGAGGUUUCUCCACAACAGGCUGAUUGAAUAUCCUUUACCUAUGUUUGAGACUACACUUAUUCAUGAAACUAGUUCCACUGAAUUUAGUAGCAUUGCUUGAACCUUAUUGUUAUGUAUUGUUUGUAUUGUGGUAGCACCUAGGAGCCCCAGUCAUCGAGCAUGACCCCGCUGUGCUACAUGCUGUACAAACACAGAACAAAAAAGAUGGUUCCUAUCCCACAGAGCUUGAAAUCAGUAUAGUGAAGGUUACACAGCUGUGCACUGGUGAGUGCUCCAGUCAAAAUCUGCCGGAACUGCUUCUAAUUUUAUUACCUGUUUCUUCCUGGUACUCCACAAAAGGCUAGCAAAGUGUCUGGACAUGAUGCUAUCACAUAACUUAAGUUGACAUUUGGAGACUAGAUCAUGAAGGUCACACAUUUUCAGCACUCUGUACGGCAAAGGUUACCGGCAACUGAUGGACUGUCCCAGAGUCUCAGGAACAUCAGAGGAUCUGGCUCUCUACCGCUGAAGCAGGAGAUCAACAGAUCUGGGCUAAUGGCAAAGUCUUCACUGGGUCCAUUGAUGGCAUACAGGAAUCAGAUAUCCGAUGGCAACUCCACCUGCAGAUCUGCCUUUCUCAUGCUAUUACCAGCUUCAUGCCCUCUUUAGACUGUGUGAUGUUUGCAAGCAGGUCACCUGCUGAGGGGAUGGCUACUUGUGAAAGACCCAAUCAUCUAUCAAGAAAAUGAGAAACAGACACAAAGGCCCAAUUAUUAUUAAGUGUUAGCAUAAUUGCAAUUAUAAGUAGAGUGUUUCAUUAUAUUACAGCUGUUGAGAUUUUAAUGCAUUCCUGUAAUGUGCCUUAUUAAUAAGCUGUAUAGAACUGCUGACUUCACAAUUUUCUGGAUCACAUUUAUGAUUACAAAAGAGGGUACGAAAAUGAAAUCACUACGAGAGCCCCACUGUGUUAGUUACUAUGAUUCACAAGUUUAUUAUGGUAAUAAAGCAACA